GACGAACGCUGGCGGCGUGCCUAAUACAUGCAAGUAGGACGCAGUUGCGAACGGGUGAGUAACGCGUAGGUAACUACCUAUUAGCGGGGGAUAACUAUUGGAAACGAUAGCUAAUACCGCAUACUAGUAGAUGGACCUGCGUUGUAUUAGCUAGUAGGUAGGGUAAUGGCCUACCUAGGCAACGAUACAUAGCCGACCUGGAGAGGUGGUAGGCCACACAGGGACUGGGGCACAGGCCAGAGUCCUAUGGGAGGGAGCAGUAGGGAAACUUCGGAAAAGGGGCGAAACCUGAACGAGCAAAGCAGCGUGAGGGAAGGAGGGUUUCGGAUCGUAAAGCGCUGUUGUUAAGGAAGCGGUACUUAACCAAAAAGGAACGGCUAACUACGUGCCAGCAGCCGCGGUAAUUC
rnacentral:rRNA from 1 species